rnacentral:rRNA from 1 species
GAUCCUGGCUCAGGAUGAACGCUAGCUACAGGCUUAACACAUGCAAGUCGAGGGGCAGCAUGACGGAAGCUUGUCUUUCGUUGAUGGCGACCGGCGCACGGGUGAGUAACGCGUAUCCAACCUGCCCUUGUCCGAUCGGAUAACCCGUCGAAAGGCGGACUAACACGAUAUGCAGUUCUCAGCAGGCAUCUAACGAGAACGAAAUGUGAAGGAGAAGGAUGGGGAUGCGU